rnacentral:rRNA from 1 species
GAGUUUGAUCUUGGCUCAGAUUGAACGCUGGCGGCAGGCCUAACACAUGCAAGUCGAGCGGAUGACGGGAGCUUGCUCCUUGAUUCAGCGGCGGAUGGGUGAGUAAUGCCUAGGAAUCUGCCUGGUAGUGGGGGACAACGUUUCGAAAGGAACGCUAAUACCGCAUACGUCCUACGGGAGAAAGCAGGGGACCUUCGGGCCUUGCGCUAUCAGAUGAGCCUAGGUCGGAUUAGCUAGUUGGUGGGGUAAUGGCUCACCAAGGCGACGAUCCGUAACUGGUCUGAGAGGAUGAUCAGUCACACUGGAACUGAGACACGGUCCAGACUCCUACGGGAGGCAGCAGUGGGGAAUAUUGGACAAUGGGCGAAAGCCUGAUCCAGCCAUGCCGCGUGUGUGAAGAAGGUCUUCGGAUUGUAAAGCACUUUAAGUUGGGAGGAAGGGCAGUAAGUUAAUACCUUGCUGUUUUGACGUUACGACAGAAUAAGCACCGGCUAACUCUGUGACAGCA